rnacentral:rRNA from 1 species
AGAGUUUGAUCCUGGCUCAGGACGAACGCUGGCGGCGUGCUUAACACAUGCAAGUCACGGGGGCCCGCAAGGGUAACCGGCGAACGGGUGCGUAACACGUGAGCAAUCUGCCGUCCACUGGGGGAUAGCCGGCCCAACGGCCGGGUAAUACCGCAUACGCUUGCCGGGUGGCAUCACCUGGCAAGGAAACCUCCGGGGGUGGACGAGGAGCUCGCGGCCUAUCAGCUAGUUGGUGGGGUCACGGCCCACCAAGGCGAUGACGGGUAGCUGGUCUGAGAGGAUGGCCAGCCACAUUGGGACUGAGAUACGGCCCAGACUCCUACGGGAGGCAGCAGUGGGGAAUAUUGCGCAAUGGCCGCAAGGCUGACGCAGCGACGCCGCGUGGGGGAUGAAGCAUUUCGGUGUGUAAACCCCUGUUGCCCGGGACGAACCUCCCCUUUCGAGGGGACUGACGGUACCGGGUGAGGAAGCACCGGCUAACUCCGUGCCAGCAGCCGCGGUAAUACGGAGGGUGCGAGCGUUGUCCGGAAUCACUGGGCGUAAAGGGCGCGUAGGCGGUGACUUAAGCGUGUGGUGAAAGCCCGGGGCUCAACCCCGGGUCGGCCGUGCGAACUGGGUCACUCGAGCACUGUAGAGGCAGGUGGAAUUCCGGGUGUAGCGGUGGAAUGCGUAGAGAUCCGGAAGAACACCAGUGGCGAAGGCGGCCUGCUGGGCAGUAGCUGACGCUGAGGCGCGACAGCGUGGGGAGUAAACAGGAUUAGAUACCCUGGUAGUCC